rnacentral:rRNA from 1 species
AGCUGGGUUCAGAACGCUGUGAGGCAGUUUGUUUAAUAUCUACUGGAAAUGUUUGAUAUCUGAAAGGAAGGAUCUUCUAGUACGAGAGGAACGAAGGUUCGGAGCCUCUGGUCUACCAGUUAUCUGAUAAGGUAUGCUGGGCAGCUACGCUCCAAGAGAUAAGUACUGAAAGCAUCUAAGUACGAAGCUUUCCUUGAAAAGAGAUAUCAUAGUGCACUCAUAAAACAUGAGUUUGAUGGACACGGUGUGUACGUACUAAGGUAACGAGGUAUUCAGC